CCGGCCAGGGAGUUGCUACAUCACCGAACUGCGCCUGGAACACCCAAGGAGCCCCUUCUUAACGUCGGGCCACCCUGUCCGAGCUGCGCUUAUUGUUGGGACACCACUGCCCUCUCCCGGAGGUAAACGCAGGUAGAAUUUGCUGAGUCCUGAGACUCGGUCUGCUUACAUCCCUCCACUGGGGAGACAGUCCCACAAGCUCUGGCAGAAAGAGUUCGUGGAAAAGGCUACUCGAACCACCGAAACUAAUGGGAAAUGUAGUCCACGGUUAAAAAAAAAAAAGCAGACGACCCGCCAAAAUCGGUUGGUCCUGGCGGGUUCAGAGCCCGGCGUGGCAGAGCCCAGCGGCCCUCUGGGAACGCUAACCCGCCUCAGGAGUGCGCAGGCGCAGAACUUCUGGCUCGCCAUCGUCUUUGUCUGCUGCACUCAUAGCACUGUCAAGCCAGGUUUUAAGGCUCUCACCAUCUGAGUAGGAGAAAAGCCUCUGAGCCAGAUAUUUCAUGAAUCUCCAGGAGCUGCGUUCUCUUUAUCUUUGAAAACCUUUGAGGAUUUUAAGAACUCAGCCUGAAUUCUAGCAUGCUGCUUUGACUCCCAACCAUAAUCGCAGAUUCUGUGUCACUUUGUUUCUUUACAAGUUUAAAGUCACCAGUUAAAACAAAAAGAUCAAUGGAUGAUCGAGAAGAAGUAUAAAGAGUUCUCUAGAGCUGGGCCUUCCAUGAAAUUGAGGCAGUAUAACGGCCCCUCUUCAAACCUUGAUUUUUAAUAAACCUGAGAAGUUUAUAAACAAAUAAAGAUACAACRUGAAAGACUUGAGAGUGAAGUCUCAUUGUUCUCUGUGAAAAUAUAGACUGAGGAAACAAAAUAGUAUUUCCUUGGAGCACAGCAUUGAUUCUUCAAGACUACACUUCUGUGUAUGGGACUCAGUUUAAGAAAAGUUGAAUCAUAAUUUAUGCUUAAAUAUGCAAGAAGCAGUAUAAGAAAGAACCAUUGACUUGGGGUUGUGGCUCAGUUGUAGAGCGCUUGCCUAGCAUGCAUGUGGCA